UACGUAGGUGGCAAGCGUUGUCCGGAUUUAUUGGGUUUAAAGGGUGCGUAGGCGGUUUUUUAAGUCAGUGGUGAAAUACUUCAGCUCAACUGGAGAGGUGCCAUUGAUACUGGGAAACUUGAGUACUGAUGAGGUAGGCGGAAUGGACGGUGUAGCGGUGAAAUGCUUAGAUAUCGUCCAGAACGCCGAUAGCGAAGGCAGCUUACUAAGGAGUAACUGACGCUGAGGCACGAAAGUGUGGGGAUCAAACAGG
rnacentral:rRNA from 1 species